AGGUGGGCCCAAAGUAAUCACAUGCAUCCUUAAGAGUAGAAGAGGGAGUGGGAAGAGAGAAGCAAAGAGGUAGCAGUGCAAGAAGAACUAAACGUUGCUGGCUUUGGAGAUGGAGGAAGGGGCCGUGAGCCAAGGAAAGUGGUGGCCUCUAGGAGCUUGCUAUGCCCUUCCACCAUGUGAGUAUAUGAGAGAAGUUUGCAACCUAGAAGGAGCCCUCACUCGACCACGCUGGCACUCUGAUCUUGGACUUCCAGCCUUCAGAACUGUUUCCGAGCUUAUUUGGAUCUCACUAUUUGACACCGAAAAAUCUUACAAGGCAGGAAGUUAUUACUUUGAGGACGUGAGUUGGGAAUCCUCAUUCACACACAUCUAUUCAAGAAUCAUCAGUGGAGGCAGCCAUUCAUCAGGCCAUCCCACCUGGAAUAUGGGGUUUCAACAGGGAAAUAGUGGCUACUCCUCUCAAAAAAUGGAAAGCAAAUGCAUAGAAAAUGAGAAUGCCUCUCAUAUCCUGCCUGCUCCUCAGAAGUCAGAUGCUGAACAUUUUGUGAUGUUAACUAAGAGACAGAAGAAUAAGAGAACAAAUGGCAACUCUUCUUGGUGACUCCUGGACAGCGUAGAACAUCUCAGUGGUCCUUUAUGCUGCUUAGUUGGAUAACUCACUUUCUACACAUUUCUAUGUUGAUAACUCUUACAUUUAUAUUUUCAUCCUGACUGCUUACCAGAGUUUUAGUCCCAUUGUGGGACUUUGUAAAGCCCAUUGGUAUUCGUAUGUCCCAGUGUCACAUGGAGCUCAACAGACGUAGAAUUAAACUCAGUUUGGUUCCCAGUGUCUCCUGUUUGUGGUGUUUACUUCCCUCCAAAUCAAAGGCUUUGCCCAUGUCUUUCCCAGAUCUGGGUGCCUCUCUUUCUGCUGGGCUCAGGUCUCCUGUUAUUAACAGUUUCACCAUUGUCGAAGUUCUCCAGGUUCAAAGCCCUGAAGGCGUUUCUAACAGAUUGCUCUCCUUCAUGCUUCGUAAUGAGUAAGUUCUUGAAAUUUUUCCUUUAGACUGAGAGCUGUUGAUGUUAUUUCCUUUCUAUCUCAUAGUCAUCAGACAACCGCAGACACUUGUCAAGUCUUGCCUGAACUAAUGCAGCAGCUUUCUAGCAGCGUUCCUGGCCACCUCUUCCCUUUCUCAAAUUCUGCUGCUAAACGAAUACUUAUAAGACAUCUACUCCCCUGCUGAGAAGCCUGUGAAGGCUCCUGAUCUCCCAACAUUGUGCCUAAGCUCUGCUGGCUGUGUCUCCCUCGUCUUUACCAUGACUCCAGCGUCUCCUUGCUCCUUAGUCUAGCCUGUCUUUGCAUUCUCCUUGAUUGUACUUCUCAACUUCCCACUGUGGCCCUUUCUCUCCUAUUCACCUCCCCAAAUCCUAACCACUUUUCAGCCUCUUCCCUGCAAGAUUCUUUUGCUUGUUUUCAUCCACUUCGAAUUCCCUUUCCUUUGAACUCCUAAAUCACGUCUUAUCUUUAGAUUGGAUGAUCAUCUUGGCAGCUUUGGUAGAACAGAAAGAACUUUGGAUUGGAGUCAGAUAAACUUGGCUCCUGAACAGGUCUCAAUAAUGCACUCUAGACCUGGAGCCAGUCAUUUUUACCUCUCUGAGUCUUGCUUUUUUUAAAUAAAAUGGAGAUAUUAAUACAUGAGAUGGACAGUGACAACAAAUGUGAAAGUACUGGCAUGCAAUCAGAUCUUCGAUGUUAGUUGAAUUUGAUUCUUUAAAAUUAUUUUUAAACACUUUAUAUCUGUUUGUCUGUCUUCUUCGUUUGGCUCCUGGAGAGCAAGUACUGUGUUUUACAUCCCUUUCUCCCACAAAAGACCUGGGCAUUGUUAUGUAAAAAUUUGCUGCCAAA
ensembl:lncRNA